UUAUGAAACACUGAAUGAUUUCAAGCACACACUUUGUCGAAUAAACUUACAUCUUUCAUUCUUUAUACAGAUUGUGGAGCUGUGGUUUGUCAAAGAUCAGCUGUGAUUAUCUGGCAGCAGCUCUGAAGUCCAACCCUUCCCAUCUGAGAAUGAUGGACCUGGCUGGAAAUAACAUGCAGAAUCCAGAUGUUAAGCAGCUGUGUGAUCUUGAGGAGAGUCCAGACUACAGACUGGAGACUCUGAGGUGGAGGUGAUGAGGGUAAACAGGACGAUGUGCGUGCUGAGAGAGGAUGAGCUGUGUACUGAUGAUCCAGAGAGGUUGAAGCAGGAGCAGCUUGUGUGUAGAGACGCUCUGAGUGUGCCAUGUUACUGUGAGGUGGAGUGGAGAGGAGAGCUUCAUCUAGCAGUGACUGACAGAUGCAUGAGAAGAAGUGCAGAUGACUGUCAGUGCUGCAGAGUGAACUGCUCUGAGAACCGCUCCACUGUCAGACACAAUGUAGAGUCCAGCAUCAUCCUUGUGUGUCCCUCUGGAUCUGACAGAGGAUCAUCAGUGUAUCUGGACUCCUCUGCUGCUGCUCUGUCCUUCUAUAGUCUCUGCACAGUCUCUGUCUGACUUUGGCUUCAGACCCUCCUGGAUCAAACUGACCUGGAAAGGCUUUCCAUUAUGAAUAAUAAACAUAAUGUUUUUAAAGGAUAAA